rnacentral:rRNA from 1 species
UCCACGCCGUAAACGAUGUCAACUAGACGUUGGGAGGGUUUAACCUCUUAGUGUCGGAGCUAACGCAUUAAGUUGACCGCCUGGGGAGUACGGCCGCAAGGUUAAAACUCAAAGGAAUUGACGGGGGCCCGCACAAGCGGUGGAGCAUGUGGUUUAAUUCGAUGCAACGCGAAGAACCUUACCUGCCCUUGACAUCCUCGGAAUCUUACAGAGAUGUGAGAGUGCCUUCGGGAACCG